rnacentral:rRNA from 1 species
UACGUAGGGUGCGAGCGUUGUCCGGAAUUAUUGGGCGUAAAGAGCUUGUAGGCGGUUUGUCGCGUCUGCUGUGAAAAUCCGGGGCUCAACCCCGGACUUGCAGUGGGUACGGGCAGACUAGAGUGUGGUAGGGGGAGACUGGAAUUCCUGGUGUAGCGGUGAAAUGCGCAGAUAUCAGGAGGAACACCGAUGGCGAAGGCAGGUCUCUGGGCCACUACUGACGCUGAGAAGCGAAAGCAUGGGGGAGCGAACAGG